CGGCCUCCGCUCAACCACCGCCCGGGGCUGUGACACCCAGUGACCCGGCAGGGCGAGGCGGUGAACGGCAGCUGCCCCCCCCCACACACCCCGGCCGUCUGGGGGAAGUGGCCGAGGGCCUGGUGCGGAGCAGAUCAGCUCCGGGUGGUGUGGGUCGGGAGGCGCCCGAGAUCGGCCCCCCUGAGGGCUUCCAGAAGCUUCCGCUGUAACCCAGGAGAUUCAUCUUCCUGGAUGAGGAUUUCUUGAAAUUUGUCAUGCGUACAGACCAGGUGUGGUGGUGACCGCUUGUCAUCACAGCAUUCUGCAGGCUGAGACAGGAGAAUCUUGAGGUGAGGUCAACCCUUGGGGUUCAUAAGACCUAGUCUUCAAGGCAAGCAAUCAAGCAAAGUAAGAGAAAGGAGAAUGAGAAGGAAAGUUUGAGAGCCAUGGUUAUGGUGGAAGUACACAGGAGAAGCUAAACUUGGCUGAAGGUAGCAGAAUGUUGAGUGCUUUCUGAGAUGCAAUGGACUACCUGCACAAGUUGAGCUGUAAUGGAAGGAACAGUUAAUGAGAGCUGGGGACAUCGGCGGGCUCAACUAGGAGACAGCAUUUUACCUGGCCUCCACUUGAUGAGGCAGUAGCAGGACAAUAGACAUUCCCAGUGAAAGAGCAGACUGUAAGAAGGCAUGAGCCUUCAGACCACACUCUGGAGAACUGAAGUACAGCAGGCCUGAGAAAGUUGCCUCCAGAUGGAGAAGGCUUUGAAUGCCCUGCCAACAGCUCUAGAUUUCAUGAUAAUGACAGCAGGCGAGGAAUUUAGGUGAUGCAACUAAUUACCGAUGGUGAUGACGAUGAUGAUGAUGAUGAUGAUGAUGAUGAUGAUGAUGAUGAUGACAGUGUAUGAGUGAUGCUACCCAGGGAACCCAAGGCUUCUGAAUACUGAGCUGGCUCUCUGCUGGUGAUUGACAGCCCACCCUGCACCUAGUUCUUUGAAGUGAAAUGGUUGACAUCAAUGGGAAAGGCAGAUUGAUAAGCAAAUGACUGAAGAACCUGAGAGGGGCAGUCUCCGCGCCCACAGGCAUCGAUUUCUGAUGGAGCUACAGAUGUCAGAGUUCACAGCUAGGAGUCCAAGGGAAGUAGCUGUCUGCAGCUCCCGGAGGCCGCGCUUUCCAGUAAACAGAACUUGAAACCUAAGCCCUGUACUCUGAUACUCCAAAGACUGAACUAUGGUGGCAUGGCCACUCUCGCUUUGUGCUGGCCAAGCACCUGUCCUGAGGACACUUCCAACCAGUCCCUCCUUAUGCUUCGGAGACUCCUGGUGGGAGUGUCCAACUCGACAGCCUGGGAGGCCUGUGGAAGUCUGGGUAUGGAUGGCAUCACACCCCCAAGAAGCCAUCUGGCGACAAAAGCUGGAGACGCUGGAAUCCUUCUUCGGGGAAUGAUUCAUUCUAACAGGAAUGGACAAGUAUUUGGGUGUCAAUUUCAGAGGCACUCCCUAACAAACAUCCUGGAUGCUAAACUGUGACUCAGAGGCUUCUUCCUGUGGAGUCACAGCUAUGAAGACGCUCUGUUGCCCCUAGAACUGUAAUGUGUUUUCCUCACAAAUGAGAACACUCAGAGCAUUUCAGCAAAAUCAUCUAAAUCAGGAUUUAACAAGUUUGCCUCUCAUCUCCAGACUCUACUGAAAUUGUCAACGUUCUCAAUAGUAUCCUGUGUGUGUGUUCAUGUGUAUGUGGGCAUAUAUGCACAUGGUAGGGGGCUUUGUGUAUAUGCAUGUGUGUAUGAGUGGGUGCAUGUGUGUGUGUGUUGUGGGGGGGAGCUGACUGGAGAGAGAGCCUCAGGGUCUCCACCUCCCCAGCUCUGGGAUUACAAGCGGACACCACCAUGCCGGACUUUCCCCCGUGGGUCCUGGGGAGUAAACACUGUACUGACUGGGCUGUCCUCCUUGCCCUAAUCACACCGUCUUUAUAGUGAAAAGACCCUUCCAGAAAUCACACCUGUGUUUAGGUGGCAUGGCUCCCCAGUCUGGUUUUUGUGUUUGCUUCAUGGUCAUUAACGUGUAUAUGUAUGUGUACGUGGGAGGCGUGAGGACAACUCUGUGGAGUUAGGGAAUCCGAUCUCUCCUUCCAUCCCUGUACGGGUUCUGGAGGUUGCAUCAUGAGCAACAUCAUCCGCUGCGCUGUCUCACAGCUCCUCCCGCCUUGUUCAACACUGCACAGCUUCUUAGUCAUUCUUUCCCUUUAUAUAAUAUUCACACAUGCAGGAUUAUGUAAUCCUCACGCACGCAGCAGCCCAGGCUGGCUUCAGACUCCUGCCUCUACUUCCCCAGCGCCUCAGCGGGCACCACCAUGGGCGGCUUUCCUUUGACUUCCACGACUCAACAGUUCUCCAGAUGAUCGGCCCCUUCUUUUUGUAGAAGGUUUUUGAAUUUGAGCUUAGCUUGCAGCAGAGAAACUGAGGGGAGAUCUCUGCAAUGGAGUCCACUGGCUGUAUCACCACACCUCCUACAAGUUGCCCCUGCAUCCGCUCAGGUGCCAUGCUCUGCAGGCAUGGACUGCCAUCUUCCAGGGUACAGAAAGACAGAACCCAAAACUGGAGUUUGAUCAUAAUUAGACUGAGGUCAUGCACCUUUGGACAAACUACCAGAGCAGCCACUUUUCAUUGCAUCCUAGUGGGUGGCACAUGCCGCCAACUUGUUUUAUCACGAAUGCGGGUAAACUGUGACCACUUGACUAGGUGGUGACUGCCAGGAUUUCUGUGAAAUUACCUUUUCCCUUUGAAAUUAAGUUUUUUAUGGGGACAUGCAUUACAGCUACGAGUAAAUAGAAUAUAAAGAGCAAAUAUCCUGCCCUUCAUCAGA